rnacentral:rRNA from 1 species
UACGGAGGGGGCUAGCGUUGUUCGGAAUUACUGGGCGUAAAGCGCGCGUAGGCGGCUUUGUAAGUUAGAGGUGAAAGCCCGGAGCUUAACUCCGGAACUGCCUUUAAGACUGCAUCGCUAGGAUUGUGGAGAGGUGAGUGGAAUUCCGAGUGUAGAGGUGAAAUUCGUAGAUAUUCGGAAGAACACCAGUGGCGAAGGCGACUCACUGGACACAUAUUGACGCUGAAGUGCGAAAGCGUGGGGAGCAAACAGG